rnacentral:rRNA from 1 species
UACAGAGGUGGCAAGCGUUGUUCGGAAUUACUGGGCGUAAAGGGCGCGUAGGCGGCCUCCUAAGUCGGACGUGAAAGCCCCAGGCUUAACCGGGGAACUGCGUCUGAUACUGGAUGGCUUGAGUUUGGGAGAGGGAUGCGGAAUUCCGGGUGUAGUGGUGAAAUGCGUAGAUAUCCGGAGGAACACCAGUGGCGAAGGCGACUUCCUGGCCUGUUCUUGACGCUGAGGCGCGAAAGCUGGGGGAGCAAACGGG